CCUACGGGAGGCAGCAGUGAGGAAUAUUGGUCAAUGGACGGAAGUCUGAACCAGCCAUGCCGCGUGCAGGAAGACGGCUCUAUGAGUUGUAAACUGCUUUUGUACAAGGGUAAACCUGAAUACGUGUAUUCAGCUGAAAGUACUGUACGAAUAAGGAUCGGCUAACUCCGUGCCAGCAGCCGCGGUAAUACGGAGGAUCCAAGAGUUAUCCGGAUUUAUUGGGUUUAAAGGGUGCGUAGGCGGAUUGAUAAGUUAGAGGUGAAAUGUCCGAGCUUAACUCGGGAACUGCCUCUAAUACUGUUGAUCUAGAGAGUAGAUGCGGUAGGCGGAAUGUAUGGUGUAGCGGUGAAAGGCUUAGAGAUCAUACAGAACACCGAUUGCGAAGGCAGCUUACCAAUCUAUAUCUGCCGUUGAGGCACGAAAGCGUGGGGAGCAAACAGGAUUAGAUACCCCGGUAGUC
rnacentral:rRNA from 1 species